rnacentral:rRNA from 1 species
UACUACUGCCAUGCCACCCUGAACAAGCCCGAUCCCAUCUUAUCUUGGAAUCUAAGCAGGAUUGGUCCUAGUUAGUACUUGGAUGGGAGACUACCUAGAAAGACCAAAUGCUGUAGACG